UUGAUGACAAUGACAGUACAGUUGGUGGUUUUAACCACAAAAUUGGCCACGGUUGCAUCAUCGGUGAGAGGUGUUACCACAACACUAUGAUUUGCUGGUAGAGCUAGAAAAUCCAAUAUAUCUCAUCAAAUCAAUUGCAGCUGGCAUUGCCAUGAAGCCUCAGUCAAGACUGUGAUUCAGUUUGAGUUUUAUUAAGGAGAAUACAACUUCAAAAUCACUGAUACAUACAAAUUCCUAUUAUAUAUCUAUUAUAUUAUUUCUCUUUCGUGUUCAUGACUGGAUCAAAGCUGGGUUUUGCUGCCAGUAAACUGUGCUCUGACUGUUACUGUGGCCUUCAUCCACAGUUGGCAGCUCACCUUCCUCAUCCUGGCAUGUGUGCCCUUCCUCUCUGAGGCCAACUUGUUUCAAAUGAGGGCAGUGGCAGGACAUUCCUUUGAGGACCAGGAAUUUCGGAGAGUGUGUUGGUUUUGAACAGAAAGAAUAUCCGUCACUCUGAUAAGAUGUCCUAAUGUACUGCAACAAAAAAAGUGACACAUCUAUUGUGUGUCAACAAUGAAAGACAAAUAUCUGAGCCAGACUCGCAUCACCAUUGUGAUUCAAGGAAGGUGAGAAGGGUAAACCUAGGUACUGUGAUCAUCUUAUGUUGUCCUCAUCAAAGCAUGUCUCAUAGUGUGCAAAAAUAUGUCAUAGAUGGUCCCAAGUUUUCAUCUCUGCAGGUGGAUUUGUUGAAGGUUUAGCCUGAGAGUAAUUUAACUUUGAUUAACAAACAGUUAAAAGUGUAAAAUUUGUUUAAAGCAGCAAGAUUCAAAGUGAGCUUGCUUAAAACAAAACUCUGAAUAAGCUUUCUCAGUUUCCUGAAACAACACCAGAAUCCCAAGCCACAAAUUUCUCUGGAGAAGUAGAUCAAAGUUGGACUUUAAAUUGCUGUUGGUUGGUUGAAGCGCUAGAUGGCGCAACAAAGCUGUGCAUAAAAAGCAGUCUUAAGUCUGAAGUUUGAAAGGUGCUGGCUUUAGUUUACCUCUCACGGGAAACCCAAAAGACAGUAAAAGCAACAAUACUUAAUAAAAAUAAUAUAAUGUAAUAAUAACAAGGGCUGACAUUUUAUUUUAUUUGUAAUUUUGGUUUAGUUUAGAGGAUGAUCUGAACGUCAGUGCGCACACUAUCGAGGGAUUUUAUGUGCGUAAAUUGAAUGCGUAAAAAACACAGAAACAAGAAAAAAAGAUUAAAUA